AUCGAACGCUGGCGGCAUGCCUUACACAUGCAAGUCGAACGGUAACAGGUCUUCGGAUGCUGACGAGUGGCGAACGGGUGAGUAAUACAUCGGAACGUGCCCGAUCGUGGGGGAUAACGGAACGAAAGCUUUGCUAAUACCGCAUACGAUCUACGGAUGAAAGCAGGGGACCGCAAGGCCUUGCGCGGACGGAGCGGCCGAUGGCAGAUUAGGUAGUUGGUGGGAUAAAAGCUUACCAAGCCGACGAUCUGUAGCUGGUCUGAGAGGACGACCAGCCACACUGGGACUGAGACACGGCCCAGACUCCUACGGGAGGCAGCAGUGGGGAAUUUUGGACAAUGGGCGCAAGCCUGAUCCAGCCAUGCCGCGUGCAGGAUGAAGGCCUUCGGGUUGUAAACUGCUUUUGUACGGAACGAAAAGACUCUGGUUAAUACCUGGGGUCCAUGACGGUACCGUAAGAAUAAGCACCGGCUAACUACGUGCCAGCCGCCGCCGUAA
rnacentral:rRNA from 1 species